UUGUUGGAACGCGCUCACGCGCAUCCAGACAACCCUUUGUGAACUUAUACCUAUACUGUUGCCUCGGCGUCAGGCUGGUCCCCCUCUGGGGGCCCCUCACCUCGGUGAGGAGCAGGCCCGCCGGCGGCCAAGUUAACUCUUGUUUUUACACUGAAACUCUGAGAAUUAAACAAAAAUGAAUCAAAACUUUCAACAACGGAUCUCUUGGUUCUGGCAUCGAUGAAGAACGCAGCGAAAUGCGAUAAGUAAUGUGAAUUGCAGAAUUCAGUGAAUCAUCGAAUCUUUGAACGCACAUUGCGCCCUCUGGUAUUCCGGAGGGCAUGCCUGUUCGAGCGUCAUUUCAACCCUCAAGCCUGGCUUGGUGAUGGGGUACUGCCUUUCAACAAGGGCAGGCCCUUAAAUUCAGUGGCGAGCUCGCCAGGACCCCGAGCGCAGUAGUUAAACCCUCGCUCUGGAAGGUCUUGGUGCGGCCCUGCCGUUAAACCCCCAACUUCUGAAAAUUUGACCUCGGAUCAGGUAGGAAUACCCGCUGAAC
rnacentral:rRNA from 2 species